UAGAGUGAAGCUCCUCGAGAAGGGGAAACGUGGCUCAGUUACCUAUCAUCCUGUAUCCAGCCCCAUGCAUGCAAGACACAGGGGCAGCAUGGUGUAGUAAAAGAGGUUGAACUCUACCACUUAUUAACUGGGCAAUCUCUCUGAGGCUCCCUCAUACUUCAAGGUGUACAAUAUAAUGAUUCAGCAAUUCUAUACAUUUCUCCGUGCUUAUCGUGAGUCUCUGACUACACACAGGAGAAGCAGAGGGUGCAGCAUCCUCAUCGGCCUGGGAGAUAAAAGGACUUGAGGAAGACACGGGGAGGACAUCAUCACCGGAGGUCGGGGGCCACGAGACAGGACAGAGGUGUAGAACAGUUGGGAGUCAGGCAUCUAGAACGGGAGAACUUCCAAGUUGUCAUGAUGUGUGAGGGAUUUAGAGAGAAAAGAAAAUCGAAAAGGAGAUACUUAAAAUCCUGGGGCUCUAGGUUACAAAUCAAAUCCUUUUCAUCUUCUUUGAAGGAAGAAAGAUUGGAAGUCCCAUUUGGUUACUUUGGGAGGGUUUUUUCCAUCUGUAAAUUGGAGAUAAUAUCUGCAAUAACGUGAUAUGAGGAUCAACUUAGUUUUCUCUACCCUUUUAUACCACUCUCCUUCGCCAAGGCCCUGCCCCAUGACCGUUGCCUCAAAAAUGUCCACUACUGGCUGUUGUCCCUGUAUUUAUAGCACUAGAAAACAGUGAUUUCUUUGUGACUGUGACUGUGGGCUCCCUGUGGCCAGUGCUGUGUCCUUUUUGUCAUUGGGUCUUCAGUGCCAGGCAUAGGAUCUGAUACGUCCUGUGUACACAACCCAUGUUUAGUAAGUGAAGGAAUGUAUGAAUGAAUGAAUGUGAAUGACAAGCACUGAUGUAAUAAAUAAGCAUUCUCAUUCCUUGUCCAAUCAAAGUCAAAUACUAAUAUACUAAAGAUUCUCCAAUAAUUUCUUAAAACUCUAGUUGACUGAAUUAAAUAAACAAAUUACAAUGAAUUCAUGCACACCAUCAACAGGCCUU